AUUGAACGCUGGCGGAAUGCUUUACACAUGCAAGUCGAACGGUAGAGGGGGCAACCCCUUGAGAGUGGCGAACGGGUGAGUAAUAUAUCGGAACGUGCCCAGUCGUGGGGAUAACGUAGCGAAAGUUACGCUAAUACCGCAUACGAUCUACGGAUGAAAGCGGGGGACUCGCAAGAGCCUCGCGCGAUUGGAGCGGCCGAUAUCAGAUUAGGUAGUUGGUGGGGUAAAGGCUCACCAAGCCAACGAUCUGUAGCUGGUCUGAGAGGACGACCAGCCACACUGGAACUGAGACACGGUCCAGACUCCUACGGGAGGCAGCAGUGGGGAAUUUUGGACAAUGGACGCAAGUCUGAUCCAGCCAUUCCGCGUGCAGGAUGAAGGCCCUCGGGUUGUAAACUGCUUUUGUACGGAACGAAAGGUUUCUAUUAAUACGAGGAGCUCAUGACGGUACCGUAAGAAUAAGCACCGGCUAACUACGUGCCAGCAGCCGCGGUAAAGUGACU
rnacentral:rRNA from 1 species